rnacentral:rRNA from 1 species
CCAGGAGCAUCGGAGGUAUCUUCAGAAGGUUUGAUUCUGGCUCAGAUUGAACGCUGGCGGGAUGCUUUACAUGCAAGUCGAACGGCAGCACGGACUUCGGUCUGGUGGCGAGUGGCGAACGGGUGAGUAAUGUAUCGGAACGUGCCUAGUAGCGGGGGAUAACUACGCUAGCGUAGCUAAUACCGCAUACGCCCUUCGGGGAAAGCAGAGGCCUUCGGGCCUCGCACUAUUAAAACAGCCGAUAUCGGAUUAGCUAGUUGGUGGGGUAACGGCUCACCAAGGCGACGAUCCGUAGCUGGUUUGAGAGGACGACCAGCCACACUGGACUGAGACACGGCCCAGACUCCUACGGGAGGCAGCAGUGGGGAAUUUUGGACAGUGGGGGAAACCCUGGAUUCAGCCAUCCCGCGUGUGCGAUGAAGGCCUUCGGGUUGUAAGCACUUUUGGCAGGAAAGAAACGGCACGGGAUAAUACCCCGUGCAACUGACGGUACCGCAGAAUAAGCACCAGCUAACUACGUGCCAGCAACCACUUUGUUAAUACAUGGUACAAAGCGUUAAUCGGAAUUACUGGGCGUAAAGCGUGCGCAGGCGGUUCCGGAAGAAGAUGUGAAAUCCCAGAGCUUAACUUUGGAGCUGCAUUUUUAACUGCAGGCUAGAGUGUGUCAGGGAGGUGGAAUUCCGCCAAUCAUGUGAUGGUAUGAAUGUAUGCGGAGGAACACCGAUGGCGAAGGCAGCCUCCUGGGAUAACACUGACGCUCAUGCACAGCGGGAGCGAGCAGGUUAGACCUUACAGUAGUCCACGCCCUAAACGAUGUCAACUAGCUGUUGGGAGCCUUCGGGCCUUGGUAGCGCAGCUAACGCGUGAAGUUGACCACCUGGGGAGUACGGUCGCAAGAUUAAAACUCAAAGGAAUUGACGGGGACCCGCACAAGCGGUGGAUGAUGUGGAUUAAUUCGAUGCAACGCGAAAAACCUUACCUACCUUGACAUGUCUGGAAUCCCGAGAUUUGGGAGUGCUCGCGAAGAGAACCGGAACACAGGUGCUGCAUGGCUGUCGUCAGCUCGUGUCGUGAGAUGUUGGGUUAAGUCCCGCAACGAGCGCAACCCUUGUCAUUAGGUGCUGAAAGGAGGCGUAACAGAGCAAGACUGCCGGUGACAAACCGGAGGAAGAUUAGGAUGACGUCAAGUCCUCGUAAGCCCUUAUAGGUGAAGACUUCACACGUCAUACAAUGGUCGGGACAGAGGGUCGCCAACCCGCGAGGGAAUAAUCUGACGAUCGUGAUCCGGAUCGCAGUCUGCAACUCGACUGCGUGAAGUCAGAAUGUAAUCAUGGAUCAGCAUGUCGCGGUGAAUACGUUCCCGGGUCUUGUACACCGCCCGUCACUUUGUGGGAAUUGGGUUUUACCAGAAGUAGUUAGCCUAACCAUAAGGAGGGCGAUUACCACGGUAGGAUUCAUGACUGGGGUGAAGUCGUAACAAAGGUAG